CUUUAGACACAACAGGCUAAUCCCUAUAUCCUGGACUGUUAGGAGGUACUUGAGGACAGGGUUGGGAACCUCUGUUGUAGGGGAAGGAUGGGAUGAGAGGAGAACAUAGACAGUACAGAGGUAGGGCCAUGUCGUUAUUGGACAUCUGUGGCCAGCAUUCUGUGUGUGUGGACUUCAGACAUCCAAUUUGCACAGAAUUAACACUCUUGUUCCGGGCUGGCUAAUGGUUGCAGAGGUCUUGAAAUCUGAAUGUGGAGCAUUUCAUAGUGCACAUACAGAAUCCAGGCACUGUGACUACUUCAAAUCACUUCAGUGGUCAUGGUCAUAAGAAAAAUUGAUGCCCUAAUCCUGCUGACUGCUGCAGAUAUAGCAUUAAUAAAGGGCCUCUAGUGCUG